UGGGUUCCUCGCAGUUCCUCUAACAGUGUAACCUUUAUCUAAAAGAAGUUUAACCAUCCAAGAAGCAAUGAAACCACCAGCCCCGGUGACACAGAUAGUUUGGCCUUGGCCUGAAAGUGAUGAAGCAUCAACAGGCAUGUUGUUAUAUUUGGAUAAAUGUAAUUAUAUGUUACGAGUUUGGUGACUGGGAAAGUGGAGAACAGACAGAGAGAGAGAGGAGAGGAGAUGUCUUUUCUUCUUAUCUUGGCUUUAAAAGUGGAUGUUACAAGGAAAGACAUGGCGGAGUGGAUGUAUUUGUAAGGUUAGAAGUUACCAUCCUCACCUACUACUGGUAAAUAUUCGCCUCCGAGAGAGAGGAAAGAGAUUCUCUCUUUCGUUUUUCUUUUCUAGUUUUUUCUCUUAUUAUCAUUAUUAAGGUUUGUGAAGAAGGAGUAUGAGUCUUUGUGAUGUGAAUCGUCAACACAACGUCACCAUGUGCUUUGCUAUUUCUCUCUCUUCUUUGAAGGUCUAUGAUGACAUGGCCUCUCUUCUCGCCUACCCCCACUUCAUUUUGUGUGUGGAUUGGAUUUAAUUCAGUGUUUUAAAAGAAUUAACGAAUAAAUCAAUGUCCAAGCAUUAAUUAAUUAAUACUCCUAAACUAACAAAGAACCUGGUGACGAAAAAUGUGAAAGAGAAUGCAUGUUUUUUUUUACCCAUUUCCUGUUUCUCUUUGCUUUAAAACGUGACUAACUUAUUGUAUCUUAAUUUAACUUAAUAAAUUAAGAAAUGAAACUAUGGUGGCAACCCGAGCUCACGACUAGGGUUUUUGCGCGUUGACUCGGUCAUGUUUUUUUGAGUUUUUAAAAAAUAUAUAUUAUUUUAAAUUUAUUUUAUUUGAAUUUAUCACCGAUAUUCCCAAGUUUUUGUGAUAUUAAUUCAUAAAAAAUUAUAAAAUAUUUAGUUACCGUAAUAAGUUUGUCAAAAAAAAUUCAUGUGAGAAGAGGGGCAAAACAUGGAGAGCCUUAAGAAAUUUCUAUGUAGAAGAGAAGCACAUGGAGUAACCCAUACUUCUAAGAAAUUUCCUUCGAUCACCAGAUAUGUUGCUUCUUCUUUUGCUUCCCUUCGAUGUCGGUGGUGAGCUUCACUGCCACUUAUGAGAAGAGAUCAAGCUACCUAAAGUCUAGGCUUUCUUCAUCUUUUCUUUCUUCAUGGUUUGUUCUGUUGCUCCUACUGCCAUGCUACUGAGCAUGGAAAAAAGACGGAACUGUUGUUGAUGGUGUUUAGGAUGACUUUUUAGGGCUGAGGAGGAGGAGAGGUUGCUGGGUUGUUUCGGUUCUAUUCGGGUUUAGUGAGGGAGGCAACGACAGCUAACCAGACGGAACUGCUGUUGCCGACGUGCUAGAGAGGUUUUUGUCCAUGUAUGUGGCCAGUGGUAGUUGGAGGAGCUGUGGUGGUGAGCGGACAGUGAUAGGAGAACUGAGAGAGGGAGGCUAUCAUGUUUUUCUUCUCUAUUUCUCUUUUCUUCUCUGAUUUU
rnacentral:lncRNA from 1 species